CAAAGGAAGUAUGCUGGCUGGACUGUAGCAGGAUCCCUCAGAGUGGAAUGAGCCUGAGGAGAGGGCAGGAGCUUCAUUCCACACUCACCCCCAACAUGAGUGGAGCAAAUGAAUACUAACUUCUUCAAGGUCACAGGACACAGCUGAGGAAACAUGGGCAUUUGCGGUUUAAGAAGCUGUAAACAAAGAAGAGAAAUCCAUAUGAAGACCUGAGGUAUAAAGAUGCACCAUCAAAGAAUUUCUUUGCUCUCUCCUCAAGAGUCAAAAUGAUGGGGAACAGAUAUGAGUCCAGAGAGAGGAGAUGAUGCUUCCAGCAACGACAUCCUGCUGUGUCCCAAGGAGAAGGCAGGGAAGUAUGUGCUUGAUGCCCAGUGGGCUCAAUAAUCACAGCAGUAAAUGACCUUACCUUCCUGUUUGUGAAAUUUACUUUCAAGGUUGAAGUGGAAGGAUGAGCAUCAUUGUAAGCCACAACACCUAAUGGACCCUGAGCAGGUGCGAUUGUCAACACACAUCCAAUACUGACUUAGGUUUCAUCUGACACCAGUAUUUGACUUCAUUUUUAGUCUUGGCUGGAUAUUUUACAAGUAGCCCUAGUGAUAUGAGGAUAUGUGAUAUGUGAAUAUGAGGAUAUAAUGAUAUGUCUUUUGUGCUCAAAGCAAAAAUUACUCUUCCUGUGGGUUGACUGU